CUUUACUGUAGCUUUACAUUGGACUUUGAACAGAUCUGUGUAGGAUAGGUGGGAGGCUUUGAAGCGGUGCCGCUAGGUGUCGUGGAGCCAACGUUGAAAUACCACCCUGGUGUGUUUGAGGUUCUAACCUUGGCCCGUUAUCCGGGUUGGGGACAGUGUAUGGUGGGCAGUUUGACUGGGGCGGUCUCCUCCCAAAGUGUAACGGAGGAGUUCGAAGGUACGCUAGGCACGGUCGGAAAUCGUGCUGAUAGUGCAUAGGCAUAAGCGUGCUUGACUGCGAGACUGACAAGUCGAGCAGGUACGAAAGUAGGACUAAGUGAUCCGGUGGUUCUGUAUGGAAGGGCCAUCGCUCAACGGAUAAAAGGUA
rnacentral:rRNA from 1 species